UUUUUUGUGAUUGAGUUGUUUGCAUCAUAUUGAUACUUAACGGGUUUGUUUUUGUUCCUUUUUUUGUUCUUGAGAAUGAUGAGGGGGCGUUGCUACAGAAAAACUACAUUCAUCUUGAGUUUGGGUAAAUCUUUAAUUCAACAAAGUAUAUGUAUUUCUAAAUUUUGGAACCCCAAAGCUUGGUUGAUACAUGUUAUCAAAUGUCUCGAAGGUUGAUCAAGUGUAUUGCAAUUACAUUGAACAAGUUAUACAAUAGACCUUUGUCACUUGAUGUAAGGGAUAGUCGGUCGUUAUGUUCUUGUUGUUGUUAAUUGUCAAAACUAAAUUAAUCCCUCAACGUGAACCCAUAGAAUGAUGUUGUAUGUAGGAAUAGAGAGGAGGAGGCGACUAGAUGUCAGACAAUGAUGAUACAUAAUAUUGACUUUGUGGUGUUGUAUUGGACAUUGGUUCUUGGAAAAAUUGUGGUAGAGAUCGAGAUUAAUUGACAUGAAGGUUGGCCAAUUGUUUCUCUAUAGAAACAAAUCAUUUGGCAUUUUCGUAAAAUCAAAUCAUAUACCCAAAGCUUGGUUUAAAUUUUCCAUUUAGAAGCUAGCCAUAAAACAUAUGAUACUCUCACUCAUUGCAUUCUCUUUUUUAUAAUGUAUUUUCUAACUAUAUUCAAUUUGAUCCCGCAUGUCAACCUUAGGGUAUUGCUCCAUGUUCUUUGGUGUCUACCAAUUAUUACUUCAUAAUAUAUUUGGCAAAGUUUUACCUCGUUCGGAUACAAGUUAAACGAGGCUUCAUUUAAAUAUUAUUGCAAAGAAAUUAGGAUGGAAAACUAAAAGAUUUUAAGAUGGAUUGGCAACAUCCCUCAAGGAAAUUGAACUCGGACACAUUCUCAAAAUCGACGAUGGGGUCACAUGACAAUCCAAUUUGAUGAGUCAAUGAACUCAAUUAUCAACGGUACACGCUAUCACUCAAUCACUUCUUUUGGUUCAACCAAUUUCCUAUAGAAUAGUGAAAUUAUUUGCCAAAAGGGGUCAACAACUACAAGCAAUGUUAGCUUUUGGUCAUAUAUGCAUAUACAUAGAAGAUUGCAG
rnacentral:lncRNA from 1 species